AUCAUGUUGAAACACCAGUUCCUGUAUGAUUACAGAUGUUAAGCAAUGUCAAGCCUGGUCAGUACCUAGAUGGAUGACAGCUUGGGAAUACCAUGUGCUGUAAG